rnacentral:rRNA from 1 species
UGGGGAAUAUUGCGCAAUGGGGGGAACCCUGACGCAGCCAUGCCGCGUGAAUGAAGAAGGCCUUAGGGUUGUAAAGUUCUUUCGGUAUUGAGGAAGGUUGAUGUGUUAAUAGCACAUCAAAUUGACGUUAAAUACAGAAGAAGCACCGGCUAACUCCGUGCCAGCAGCCGCGGUAAUACGGAGGGUGCGAGCGUUAAUCGGAAUAACUGGGCGUAAAGGGCACGCAGGCGGUUAUUUAAGUGAGGCGUGAAAGCCCCGGGCUUAACCUGGGAAUUGCAUUUCAGACUGGGUAACUAGAGUACUUUAGGGAGGGGUAGAAUUCCACGUGUAGCGGUGAAAUGCGUAGAGAUGUGGAGGAAUACCGAAGGCGAAGGCAGCCCCUUGGGAAUGUACUGACGCUCAUGUGCGAAAGCGUGGGGAGCAAACAGGAUUAGAUACCCUGGUAGUCCACGCUGUAAACGCUGUCGAUUUGGGGGUUGGGGUUUAACUCUGGCGCCCGUAGCUAACGUGAUAAAUCGACCGCCUGGGGAGUACGGCCGCAAGGUUA